rnacentral:rRNA from 1 species
GACGUAGGGCGCGAGCGUUGUCCGGAUUUAUUGGGCGUAAAGAGCUCGUAGGCGGCUUGUCGCGUCGACUGUGAAAUCCCGCGGCUCAACUGCGGGUCUGCAGUCGAUACGGGCAGGCUAGAGUUCGGUAGGGGAGACUGGAAUUCCUGGUGUAGCGGUGAAAUGCGUAGAUAUCUGGAGGAACACCGGUGGCGAAGGCGGCAUCCUGGACCAACACUGACGCUGAGGAGCGAAAGCAUGGGGAGCAAACAGG